GGGAGUGGAGCUCAGCAGUAGAGCACUUACUUAGCAUGUGUAAGGCCCUGGGUUCAAUCCCUAGCACUGCCA
rnacentral:tRNA from 1 species